rnacentral:misc_RNA from 1 species
GAUGAAGAACGUAGCGAAAUGCGAUAAGUAAUGUGAAUUGCAGAAUUCAGUGAAUCAUCGAAUCUUUGAACGCACAUUGCGCCCCCUGGUAUUCCGGGGGGCAUGCCUGUCCGAGCGUCAUUACAACCCUCAAGCUCAGCUUGGUGUUGGGCCCCGCCGCCCCGGCGGGCCCUAAAGUCAGUGGCGGUGCCGUCCGGCUCCGAGCGUAGUAAUACUUCUCGCUCUGGAGGUCCGGUCGUGUGCUCGCCAGCAACCCCCAAUUUUUUUCAGGUUGACCUCGGAUCAGGUAGGGAUACCCGCUGAACUUAAGCAUAUCAAUAAGCGGAGA